GCGCGCGGUGGUCGUCACUGGUCGCGGCCCGGCCUUCUGCGCCGGUGGCCAGCUCGACUGGAUCGUCGCCGAGCCGGACGCGCC
rnacentral:tRNA from 1 species